rnacentral:rRNA from 1 species
AAUCAAGUGGAGGACAAGUCUGGUGCCAGCACCCGCGGUAAUUCCAGCUCCACUAGCGUAUAUUAAAGUUGUUGCAGUUAAAAAGCUCGUAGUUGAACCUCUGUCUGGGGCUAGUUUUGGCUUUGGUCAGGCUAGUUCUAGGCAUCCGCCUACAAGACUUAGAGGGCAUUCAGUUGUUCACUAGGAGGAGUAGGCAUUUUACUUUGAAAAAAUUAGAGUGUUUAAGGCAGGCAAUCGCCCGCAUAUAUUAGCAUGGAAUAAUAGAAUAGGACACUUUUCCAUUUCGUUGGUUAUUGGAAUCGUGUAAUGAUUAAUAGGGACAGUUGUGGGCAUUUGUAUUUAAUAGUCAGAGGUGAAAUUCUUGGAUUUAUUAAAGACAAACUAACGCGAAAGCAUUUGCCAAGGAUGUUUUCAUUAAUCAAGAACGAAAGUUAGGGGAUCAAAGACGAUCAGAUACCGUCCUAGUCUUAACUAUAAACUAUUCCGACUCAAUGUUUGACUGGCUUAUAUAACCAGUUGAGCGUUGUAUGAGAAAUCAAAGUCUUUAGGUUCUGGGGGGAGUAUGGUUGCAAAGCUGAAACUUAAAGGAAUUGACGGAAGAGCACGACCAGGAGUGGAUUCUGCGGCUUAAUUUGACUCAACACGGGGAAACUUACCAGGUUAAAACAAUAGUGGGAUUGACAGUUUGAGAGCGCUUUCUUGAUUGGUUGGGUGGUGGUGCAUGGCCGUUCUUAGUUGGUGGAGUGAUUUUUCUGCUUAAUUGCGUUAACGAACGAGACCUUAACCUGCUUACUAGACUGGCGAUCAUCAAUCGUUAGCUCUUCUUAGAGGGACUUUGGUUGUUUUAACUCCAAGGAAGUUUUGAGGCAAUAACAGGUCUGUGAUGCCCUUAGAUAUCCUGGGCCGCACGCGUCAUACAAUGACUAGUUCAGAAAGUUUUCUCCUGACCCGAAAGGGGAUGGGUAAUCUUGAUAAUACUAGUCGUGUUAGGGAUCGAUCUUUGCAAUUAUAGAUCUUGAACGAGGAAUUCCUAGUAAGUGCGGUUCAUCAGACCGUACUGAUUACGUCCCUGCUCUUUGUACACACCGCCCGUCGCUUCUACCGAGUGGGUGGUCCGGUGAGAUAAUUGAACUUCGCAGGUAACUGAGAGGAAAGAUUAUCAAACUAUCCACCUCGAGGAAGAAGAAGUCGUAACAAGGU